GCGUCCAUAGCUCAGUAGGAUAGAGCAGCAGCCUUCUAAGCUGCGGGUCAGAGGUUCGAAUCCUCUUGGACGCG
rnacentral:tRNA from 1 species